UCUAGGGCUCUUUUAAGACUCAAAACACUCACUCACUCAACGCUCUCUACAAUCGAUCCGGAGACCUCGCCUCGCUUCCGGCAACCCCUUGCUCACUUCUCCUCAUCGACGGUCUCAUCAUCACCUGACCUCAAAUUCCUUUGUUUCCAUCUUUUGCAGAAAACCCAAAUACACGCUCACCCCGUUUUUGAUGCUCAGAAACGAAAAAGGGCAAGCGCCUUGGUAUUUUAGAAGAUGUAUUUUGGGGAAAUAGGGCAUUUUGGUUCUAUGUGUUCUUAUAACCCUGGGAAUCAAGAACCCUGUAUUCUUACACCGGAUUCAUAGUUGAAGUCUACCAGAAAGAAAAGUGUACGGAUGAGCCUAAUGGGUCGAGGAAUAGCAGAGGAAGCGCUAGUCCUUCUUUGUAGAAGACUAUGUGAUCUCAAUUUCAUCUUCUCCCUUUUCUCCGAUUCUCCCGACAACAACUACAGGUUCGGUUGAUGGUUAUUCGAAAAUUCUAUAUAUCUUCCAAUUAUGUCUACAUGAAUAUCAUAAUCUCUUUUUUUCCUCAUCCUCCAUUGUGGCGUAUUUAAUCUUUGAACAAAUUUCAGCAAGUUGAAAUUUAUCGUAUCAAAUUUGGUAACUGAGGGUGUAACAAUUCGAUACUGCUUCAGGAUCCUCGAGGAUGCGGAAAAAUUGCGGUGUUGGAUCUUGUUCUAGAGGAUUUGCUGAAAGAAUAUCCUGAAAUGAUCUCAGAGGCAUAUAUGCACAAUGGCUGACCGGAAAGAGCAUCUCCUCCCACCAAAACCUACAUCAGCUAUAAAUGUUAGUGAUGGAUCAUAACAGCUGACGAAGUUCUUCUUUUGAAUUCUCUUGAUAGCUAUAUGUGGUGGAAUUACAAAGACGAUUGAAAGCUACAGGGGUUGGUGUGGUGUGGCAAUCUGAAGGGGCAAAGUUGAAUAGACGAAUGGGAAAUUCAAAUAGAUCCUUAGGGUACCUGUGCAUGGUUUGUAGGGUUUUUAAGACUACCUUCCAUUGAAGAGAGAUUAAAAAGACGUGAUCUCCUUGAAAGGGGUGUUCUUUCUUCUUCAAAGGUAUUAUUUUUGGUCUGUUUAUAUAUGCCCAUUUACAUGUUCAUACAGAUUCUGUCUUUUCAACUUUCAUCAAUAGAUUAUGCAUAUACAAUAUAGAGGUCUUUCACUCUCUUCUUUUAGUUAUAGAUUCCUGAUUUCUAAAACAAAAGAAGUUAUUUCAUCAUUUUAUCUGCAAGAAGUACAUAAGAAUAUUCCAUAGAACAACAUGGCGGAGCUUAUUUCUCGAUCUCCUUCAUCAGGUUGUCCAUACUACAAGAGAUCUAGAGAGAGAUCUAGAGAAAGAGAGAGAGAGAUCUAGAGAGAGAGUGUGUGUGUGUGUGAGAGAGAGAGAGAGAGAGAGAAUUAAUGAAAAGAAAACUAUCUGCAGUGUGCAAUUUCUUGUGUUGUUUAUUACAAGUUUAAGAGAUAUAAAGUUGAUUCAUUUGCAAUAAAAUGUUCUGUUCGUGGUUGGAAAACAAAAGAAAUUGCAAACUUUGAUUCAUUCUUUGCAUUCACUCUUUGUUGCUUUGUAGUUACACUUGAAAUUUUUUUUUCCUUCCUACGAGUGAGUAGUUCAGGAAGAUAUUCAAGACCUUUUUUUUCAUUUAAUUAACCUUGAUCUGCAUUUAGAUGACUUAGAAAUUCAGGGAUGAUGACCAUUUGGGAUAUUCAAAACCUUUUGUUUGGUAACACUUCACCUGAAUACUUGCCCUUUGAGUUUAGGGCUCUAGAAGUUGCUCUUGAGGUUGUUUGUACAUUUUUGUUGGUGGUAAUGCAGCUGGUAACAGAAGUGGAGCUUCACGAGCUCUUGUGAAGUAUAGGUUGAAGAUCUUCAACGGUCAGUUUGAAGAGCUUCAUCAAAGACAAUCUCAAUGGACCGUUCCUGAAAUAAAGCUUAGAGAAUCUAUCAGACUUGCAGUUGUUAAAGUCUUGUUGCCUGUAUAAAGAUCUUUCAUUAAAUGUUUUGGUUACAGGGCACUUGUUGCGAAUGGGAAGAAUCCCAUUAAGUACAUAAGGUAUUCAGCAGAGGAUCUUGAUCGGAUGCUUUGUGAAUUUUUCAAGGGGACGGUGUGAGCGAGUCGCAGUUCAACCAGGUGUUGAACAUUGAACUGGACCAAAUUAUCGAGGCCAACAAAUUCCUUGAUGAGAAGUGGAACCCAAAGUUUCUUGUGAUAAUUGCUCAGAAGAAUCACCACACCAAGUUUUUCCAACAAGGAUUUCCAGACAAUUUCCAGCCUGGAACUAUGAUUGAUAACAAGAUUCAAUUCCCAAAAAGAUAGGUCUGAUGUGCGUUUGGAUAAUCAACAAAUUCUCUAGGGGAUGCCUAUCACCAAGUUGUGCGUAGUGUGAAGAAUGAAAGAUCACCACACAUUUAAGAGAGAUUUCUUUCAGUUUGGGCCUUAGUAUGCAAAUGUUGGGUAUUUAUAGUUUGAUACACUCUUGUUGCUUAUGUUGCUGUUGGGUUCAAAUGUAAAGCGUUCACGUAACUUAAGAGCUGCUGCUGAGUUGCCUUGCCUCUCUCAAGCCUAAACGAUGUUGCUUAACAAUACCCCAUGCUGUCCUUUGCAGGAUUGGGCCAAUGAACUCUGAAAUCAAGCAACAAAAGGUUGUAAAGCAUAAAAAGCAUGCAAGAUUAACUAAAAAAGCACGCCCUGAAGAAUCCAUGUCAAUGGUUGCUGAAAGCUUUCAAAAUAAUGAACAUGAUCACUUGUUGUCCCCAAUUGAUGUAUCUGCUUCUCUUUCGGUGAACAGGUCUGGAAGGCUUGAGAAUAAUGCAGCACAAUACUCGGUUGAUAUCGAGUUAUCUGGCUUAGUCUUGUCCCUUGAUGAAGAUCAAUUGCAGCAAAUAUUGUAUCUGUAUGAUUAUCUAUACACUUGUCAGCUAAGAGAGAAUGUUUUUAGAUAUGGACGAUAUCGCCCUUGGGGGAUACCUAUAUCAUAAAGACCUUUGGGAUGGCAGAUGCAAUGGUGGCGUUAUGCUCAAAACUCUGUGUUAUCUGAUGUUCGUAAAAGAAUGAAGAAAACUUCAUGGAAAUAAUUAGGAGAACGUUUAGGCAGAAAAAGACGAUAUGUUAAGUUGUACAAGUUGAAACUGGAAUGUCUACGAAAAGAGCAGCCUCUGGAUGAUGAAAUUGUUUUGGAGUUGGACCAAAUAGAGAAAGUAUCUGAUAUAGAAGAUAUCUUGGGUUACAGGUCUGCUGCAGAACAUGAGCUUCAGCAUGUUGCUGCUGAAGGCACAACCUUGGUCAAAGAGAUAGAAGAUGCUGCAAGUAAUAAGAAGGCAGAAAAGAGAUUGCAGGCUGAUCCUGCUACAUGGCCAAUAAUGAUCUUUAGGGUCUGCUAGAAGGAUUGGAGAUUGUAGUGAAGCUUCUAUCUAAGACUUCAUGCCAAGGAGUUGAUGAAUUUAAGAUAUCAUGUUUUGGCAUGGCUAGAAGCUUUGGAGGAAUGAAGACUCAAGCAAAAGUAAACACACGGAGAGUUGUUGGCACAUAGUAAGCUAGAUAAUGCAAUUGUAUAUAAAUGAGUUCAUUUUUUUAUAACAUUUACUCACUAUUGGAAUAAUUAUUUGUAUUUGACAUAUUAGUGAAAUGAAUUAUCUUUGUUAUUUAUGAUAUUUUAUUUUGUAUUAUGAGAUUUUUAAUGUAUUAUUUAAUUUAAAAAUUAGUAAAUCCAUAAGUAAUAUUUUUUUUAAACUUUUAAAAUUAUGAUACGCAAAAAUGUGGGUCAUCUUCAUUUAUGACAUGGCCUUUCUU